UACGUAGGGUGCAAGCGUUGUCCGGAAUCAUUGGGCGUAAAGAGCGUGUAGGCGGCCCGGUAAGUCCGCUGUGAAAGUCCAGGGCUCAACCCUGGGAUGCCGGUGGAUACUGUCGGGCUCGAGUCCGGAAGAGGAGUGUGGAAUUCCUGGUGUAGCGGUGAAAUGCGCAGAUAUCAGGAGGAACACCAAUGGCGAAGGCAGCACUCUGGGACGUGACUGACGCUGAGACGCGAAAGCGUGGGGAGCAAACAGG
rnacentral:rRNA from 1 species